rnacentral:rRNA from 1 species
UACGGGGGGGGCAAGCGUUGUUCGGAAUUACUGGGCGUAAAGGGCUCGUAGGCGGCCCAACUAAGUCAGACGUGAAAAUCCCCCGGCUUAACCGGGGAACUGCGUCUGAUACUGGAUGCUCGAGUUUGGGAGAGGGAUGCGGAAUUCAGGUGUAGCGGUGAAAUGACGUAGAUAUCUCGGAGGAACACCGGUGGCGAAGGCGGCAUCCUGGCCAACACUGACGCUGAGGAGCGAAAGCCA